ACGUAGGGUGCGAGCGUUAAUCGGAAUUACUGGGCGUAAAGCGUGCGCAGGCGGUUAUAUAAGUCAGAUGUGAAAUCCCCGGGCUCAACCUGGGAACUGCAUUUGAGACUGUAUGACUAGAGUGUGGCAGAGGGGGGUGGAAUUCCACGUGUAGCGGUGAAAGGCGUAGAGAUGUGAGGGAACACCGAUGGCGAGGGAGCCCCCCUGGGCCAAUACUGCGGUUCAUGCACGAAAGCGUGGGAGCAAACAG
rnacentral:rRNA from 1 species